AUUGAACGCUGGCGACAGGCCUAACACAUGCAAGUCGAGCGGAUGACGGGAGCUUGCUCCUUGAUUCAGCGGCGGACGGGUGAGUAAUGCCUAGGAAUCUGCCUGGUAGUGGGGGACAACGUUUCGAAAGGAACGCUAAUACCGCAUACGUCCUACGGGAGAAAGCAGGGGACCUUCGGGCCUUGCGCUAUCAGAUGAGCCUAGGUCGGAUUAGCUUGUUGGUGAGGUAAUGGCUCACCAAGGCGACGAUCCGUAACUGGUCUGAGAGGAUGAUCAGUCACACUGGAACUGAGAAACGGUCCAGACUCCUACGGGAGGCAGCAGUGGGGAAUAUUGGACAAUGGGCGAAAGCCUGAUCCAGCCAUGCCGCGUGUGUGAAGAAGGUCUUCGGAUUGUAAAGCACUUUAAGUUGGGAGGAAGGGUUGUAGAUUAAUACUCUGCAAUUUUGACGUUACCGACAGAAUAAGCACCGGCUAACUCUGUGCCAGCCGCCGCAGUAACAC
rnacentral:rRNA from 1 species